rnacentral:misc_RNA from 1 species
UAAAGGCUUAGUUGAGUUGAGUUGGGUAGUGAGGCAUGGCAGAGAAGAGGAAUGAAAGAAAUAAGUUAAAACACAAAUUCAUAAGGCUGGAGCUAAAAUACUAAAAAGAAAUAUAAGCCCAAUAAAAACUUUUUGCAAGAAUAGCAGUGCAACCACCAAAGGACACUAUGCAAAUUCAUCUAACGCUCUAUCAUGUCACACUUAUACAUGCUGAGUUUUGAGGAAAAUAAGCUUCUAAAUUUUGAGGAAAAUAAGGUUCUAAAUUAGAGUAUUUCAUUAUCGAUUUUGAAAUGACAACAAGGUCACACAUAAGGUAAGUCUCAAUAUAUAACAGCACAUUGGUGGCAAUACAAAUAGCAUAUAUCACUUAUUAAUCCAUAGAGAAUGAGCAGAAUACAAUAAACAAAGGUGACAGUGAAAUCACAGGAAAGAAACAAAAAAUAUUACAGUUGGUGUAGAAGUUGAAACAUAAACUUGUAAUUUAUAGUAUUUG